AACGGGUGGAGCUUGCGGUUUAAUUGGACUCAACGCCGGGCAGCUCACCGGAUAAGACAGCUGGAUGAUAGCCGGGCUGAAGACUCUGCUUGACUAGCUGAGAGGAGGUGCAUGGCCGUCGUCAGUUCGUACUGUGAAGCAUCCUGUUAGGUCAGGCAACGAGCGAGACCCACGCCAACAGUUGCCAGCAUGUCCUCCGGGAUGAUGGGGACACUGUUGGGACCGCCUCUGCUAAAGAGGAGGAAGGAAUGGGCAACGGUAGGUCAGCAUGCCCCGAAUUAUCCGGGCUACACGCGGGCUACAAUGGUCAGGACAAUGGGUAUCGACACCGAGAGGUGGAGGCAAUCUCCUAAACCCAUCCGUAGUUCGGAUUGUGGGCUGCAACUCGCCCACAUGAAGCUGGAAUCUGUAGUAAUCGUGUCUCAAAAUGGCACGGUGAAUAUGUCCCUGCUCCUU
rnacentral:rRNA from 1 species